rnacentral:rRNA from 1 species
CGAUUCCGGCUACGGAUGGUCAUGCGUCGCAUUAGCUAGUUGGCGGGGUAACGGCCCACCAAGGCGACGAUGCGUAGGGGUUCUGAGAGGAAGGUCCCCCACACUGGUACUGAGACACGGACCAGACUCCUACGGGAGGCAGCAGUGAGGAAUAUUGGUCAAUGGCCGCAGGGCUGAACCAGCCAAGUCGCGUGAGGGAUGACGGUCCUAUGGAUUGUAAACCUCUUUUGUCAGGGAGCAAAGGACGCCACGUGUGGCGUUUUGCGAGUACCUGAAGAAAAAGCAUCGGCUAACUCCGUGCCAGCAGCCGCGGUAAUACGGAGGAUGCGAGCGUUAUCCGGAUUUAUUGGGUUUAAAGGGUGCGCAGGCGGAAUGUCAAGUCAGCGGUAAAAUUUCGGGGCUCAACCCCGUCGUGCCGUUGAAACUGGCGUUCUUGAGUGAGCGAGAAGUAUGCGGAAUGCGUGGUGUAGCGGUGAAAUGCAUAGAUAUCACGCAGAACUCCGAUUGCGAAGGCAGCAUACCGGCGCUCAACUGACGCUCAUGCACGAAAGCGUGGGUAUCGAACAGGAUUAGAUACCCUGGUAGUCCACGCAGUAAACGAUGAAUACUAACUGUCCGGGCCGAUUGAGGUCUGG